rnacentral:tRNA from 1 species
GCCUUUAUAGCUCAAUGGUAGAGCAAUCGCUUGAAGCGUGAUUUAUCUAAGUUCGAUUCUUUGUAAAGGCA